GACGAACGCUGGCGGCGUGCCUAACACAUGCAAGUUGAACGGAACCGUCCUGCCUUGGUGCGCUGCGGUACUUGCCGAGUGGGAACUUACACGUAAGUUACGUAUCAUUCACCUUAAGGCAUCCUAAUAACGCUUGGUGUCUUAGGGCCUAAGAUCUCCCGCCGUUGGAUGGGCGCGCGUUAGAUUCGCUUGUUGGUAGGGUACAAGCAUACCAUGGCGACGUUGCAUAGCUGGUCUGAGAGGAUGGUCUGCCACACUGGGACUGAGACACGGACCAGACUCCUACGGGAGGCAGCAGUGGGGAAUAUUAGAGGAUGGGCGAUAGCCUGAUCCAGCCAUGCCGGGUGAGUGAUGAAGGCGUUAGGGUUGUAAAGUUCUUUUACCCGGGAUGAUAAUGACAGUACCGGGAGAAUAAGCACCGGCUAACUCCGUG
rnacentral:rRNA from 1 species